UACGAAGGGUGCAAGCGUUACUCGGAAUUACUGGGCGUAAAGCGUGCGUAGGUGGUUUGUUAAGUCUGUUGUGAAAGCCCCGGGCUCAACCUGGGAAAUGGCAAUGGAUACUGGCAGGCUAGAGUGCGGUAGAGGGUAGUGGAAUUCCCGGUGUAGCGGUGAAAUGCGUAGAGAUCGGGAGGAACACCAGUGGCGAAGGCGGCUACCUGGACCAGCACUGACACUGAGGCACGAAAGCGUGGGGAGCAAACAGG
rnacentral:rRNA from 1 species